rnacentral:rRNA from 1 species
GGGGUAACGGCCCACCAAGCCUUCGAUGGAUAGGGGUUCUGAGAGGAAGGUCCCCCACAUUGGAACUGAGACACGGUCCAAACUCCUACGGGAGGCAGCAUG